GUGCAAAUACUCUAUAUACAAGUGAAGAGUCUGGGAGGAUCAAAACAAGGGUCACAUUAAAAGAUCAUGCAAUCUUAUACUCUAAUGAGGUGUAAGAAUGACAAAGCAUAAGGUGCAGAUUCACAAAUAUGAGGUGCAGGACUCACAAAAUACGAGGCAAAGAAGCAUCAGAUACAAAAGCCAGAUCUCGAAAAGAAACAUCAGACCCUUGUUGCCCUGGAGCAAUGGCAGUGCCCCCAAAGAUCCUCAAAGGAGAGGAGAGAAGAGAAGAAAGACUCCCUGGGCCCAACAGGCCUCUGUAACCCAGCUUGAUAGCCCCCCUGAGGGGAACCUCACAGCCCAGGGCCCAUGGGUGACUGGUGCCCCCCCAGUGGCCAGUCAGCAACUUGGGGGGCAGGGGGGCCCACAGCCAAUCUCAUCUGGCCAAUCGCGCUGACCCAGAAGCAUAAGCGACGCUCCCAGAUGUGCCAGCAAUGCUUCUCCUGGCACCCCUACUCCCCGGCCAGCGCUCUUGGGAGGGCACCAGCACUCCCGCUUGCCCCCCUGCCCAUUGCCAAAGUGGGGAGAGCUGGCUGUCAAAGGGUGUACCAGCACUGUCAGGGGGUGCAUGUGCACACCUGUGCACCCGCUAUGCAUCCAGGGCCCUCCCCAUUGAAAGGGCUUCCCCUUCAGCUGCUAACCACAAGUGAUGGGGGGAGCUCCCUCCUUCCCUUUGGGAGUCCCUUUCCCUAGUAACUCACAGCUCUCAGAGGCUCCUCUCGUUCUUAUGCUGCUCAUGCUCUCCCAGCUUCUGGCCUGCUUGGGGCCCCGUGCACUGCUCCGUGUACCAGUGGCCCUGCCUUAUGUCAGGGGUUGGAGACCUGAGCCACUUUGUGCAGAAUCAUGGUCUCGGUCUGCUCCCAGGCCCUCUGUGCAUUGCCGGUGCACCACGUUCCUGGCCUUGUGCCAGGGGUCAGAGACCCAAGCCGCCUUGUGUGGUGCCAGGGUCUCGGUCCACUUCCAGACCACCCAUGCACCGCCCGUAUACUGAAUGCCUGGCCUUGUGUCAAGGGUUAGAGACCUGAACCUCCUCAUGCAUUUCCCAGGGCCUCGGUCCCUCUUGGACUGCCCAUGCACUGACACCGCACCUCCUCGUGGCGGGGCUGGAGGCUGUGGCCAUUUGCCACUCCCCGUCCGACAAUCUGUCUUCGGGCUCUCCUGGGGCUACUGCUCUGCUGGGCUGGCCAGCUCCGCCAGCUCUUCUUUGCCCUCUUCUUUGUCCCUCAAUAGAGCUGCCCGUGUGCUGGGCACGCCGCCUUUUUAUUCCCUUUAGAGGCUCUGCCCCCGGUUUGGAAAUGGAGGGGUUUAAUCCUCUCUCCAGUCCAGCUCUCUGCCUCAUCCCACAGUAGGGGUGGGAUAAGCCUUUCCCCUACCAUCACCUGAUUGGUGGGGAAGGAGAAAAUACCCCAUCAAUCACUUUGAGCCUUCUCGAAGCUGGCACACUGGGCUGCUGCCAGCAAGCCCGCCAUGCUAGGAUGCUUUGCACCUCCCCUGCAAACCCCCCCUUGCAGGGUGGGUGGGCUAGCCUUGCCCAAGCUGUUUGCUCUAGCUGAGCAGGGAGGUGUGCUCUAGUACCCCCUCACCCCCCAGCUUCUGGCCUGGGCCAUUGCAGGUAUGUGGCUUCAUUUGCAUUUCCAGAAUUAAAAAUGAAUGUCCGUUCACUUGCUUAUCAGUUCAAUCUACACAGUUUAGACUGAACCUGGGAAGUUUGAAUUGAUUCAGCCUUGGGCUUUCUGACUGCCAGUACUUAAUCUAAAUGUUUAGUACUCAGCUGUCUGCUGGGAAUAGCUUGUAUUUCGUAUCUGCUGAGUUGCAGGGGAUGCACUGUCACUAAGCCUUUAUUGUUAUUCUCCAUUUAAAAUAAUGGAGAUUCUGCAAGUCUCUAAUUGAUCUUUGAGAAUAGAGAAAAAGCUGCAAGAACUCCAGACAUUCACAUGAGAUGAUAAGUGACAGCAAGAGCUCAGGGAAGGAGUCAUAGUUUCAUAGUUUCUAGGGUCCUAGUAUCAUAGUACUUAGGGUUGGACCUGAACAGAUCAUCCGGUCUGACCCCCUGCCCCGGGCAGGAACGAGUGCCAGGGUCAUAUCACUCCAGCCAAAUAUCUUUCCAGCCUCCUCUUGAAGACCCCCAAGGUAGGAGAGAGCACCGCCUCCCUUGGGAGCCCAUUGCAGAACCUGGCAGCCCUAACCGUAAAGUAACGUCUCCUGAUGUCCAGCCUGAACCUUGUCUCUAACAAUUUGUGGCUGCUAUUCCUAGUAACCCCCAGAGGUGCCUGGGGGAACAGAGCCUCAUGUAUUUUCUGCUGGUACCCCCGGUGAGUUUAUAGAUGGCCACCAGAUCCCCUCUUAGUCUUCUCUUGUGGAAGCUGAAUAGAUUCAGGACUUUUAGUCUAUCUUUGUAGGGCCUGCCCUGCUGCCUUGUGACCAAGUGAGUGGCCCUCCUCUGCACCCUCUCAAUGCUAGCCACGUUCCUCUUGAAGUGCAGCACCCAGAACUGGAUGCAGGACUCCAGCUGUGGCCUGACCAGUGCUGCAUAGAGGGGAAGGAUCACCUCCCUGGACCUGCUUGUGAUGCAUCUGUAGAUGCACAACAAGGUGCAGUUAGCCUUACUGACCGCUUCCUCGCAUUGGUGGCUCACGUCCACAAUGACUCCAAGAUCCCUUUCAGCCACUUUGUUGUUGAGAAGGGUGUUCCCCAGUCUAUAGGUGUGUUGCUGGUUCCUUCUCCCUAGAUGUAUCACCUUACACUUGUCUACAUUGAACUCCUUCCUAUUCUCAUCCACUCACCUCUGUAACCUGUCUAGAAAUAGUUGGAUUCUGUCCCUCCCCUCCAGUGUGCCCACUUCUCCCCACAUCUUUGUGUCAUCAGUGAAUUUGGACAGCGUGCUUUCCACACCCACCUCUGAGUCACCGAUAAAGAUGUUGAAUAGCACAGGCCCAAGGACCGAGCCCUGGGGCACUCCACUGCCCACAUCCCUCCAGGUCGAAAAGGACCUGUCCACCACCACUCUCUGGGUGCGACCAUCAAGCCAAUUUGCCACACAUCUGACUGUGUAGGCAUCAAUGCCACAGUCACCUAGGUUUUUUUAAUGAGAAUGGGGUGAGAAACAGAGUCAGCAAAAGAUGUUUUCUGAUUAUAAAGAAAUAGAGAAAAUAUUAAGGUCCAGAUUCUGUUACCAUUUAUGUGUGCUUGAAUGGCACUUAAUAGGUGGCAUUUUUGGCAUUUGUGCCCAGGUUGCAAUUCUAUUAUUUGAUUAGCAGAGAUAAGUCACAAAAUCUCCCUGAAGAAAACAAAAGGAAAUCUGUAAGUGUUCUCAUGUUUUAGUCCCAGCAGCUAAGAAGACCAGUCAUUUUCUCAGGGUGCAACCAACACCGCUUAUCAACAACUUCCUGCAAGGGGGUUUGAGCAUGCGUCUCUCCAGCUUUACCCUCUGACCUGUUCUAGUCCCUCCCCUAGUUCCUUCUUUUCAAACUGAGGUGUUUAAUAGGACUCAGUUACCCCUAUUCCUAAAGUAUGAGUGGAACAGAUGGCAUAAUCCACCUCAAGGAAACCAAUCCCAGUUUUAUUUUUAAAAGUUAAUAAUGUGUGUCAGUAUUUGGAAUUUUCUUUUUAUACAUAGCACUUGCCAAAAAAAGUCAAAGAUUAUCUUCCAUUUAAAAAAAUAAAGUUAAAUUGAAAACAUCUUAACCGAAACCCAUUAAUAGUUCUGCUCUCAAAUACUGCUCCAGCCCCUCGUUCCCCUCUGUGUGCAGAACUACGCCUCCCAUGGUACACCAGGGUCAAUCCUCUGGGGGCGGGGGAGAAGGGAGAGAGAGGAGGAGAGAGAGGAAGUGGCCUAUGUUGCAGUAUAAUAUAAUGCAGCUUGGGCUGCUGAGAGAAGGGGUGGGACUCAGGAAAUGUUGUAAGUAAAGUUCAGGAAGGGAAAUCAUUACUUUUUGCAUAAAAGUGAGCAUCAGAGAUCAGAAACUGAACUUAUUGCACAAUCUUUUUUGGAAGCCAUGGCUGACCUGAACCCUCUAGAACGACUCCAAGAAGAAGCAACCUGUUCCAUCUGCCUGGUUUUCUUCAAUGACCCUGUGUCUCUCGACUGUGGACACAACUUUUGCCGAGCCUGCAUCGCCCAGUGCUGGGAGGGAGUGGGAACAGAUCAUGACUCUGUCUCUUGCCCUCAGUGUAGAGAGACAUUUCAGCAAAGAAACCUCAGGACAAACAGGCAACUGGCGAACUUUGUGGAAAUAGCUAAGCAGCUGAGUGUGCAAACAGCGGGGGGGACAGAAGGAGAAGCAAAGUGCAAGGAACACGGGGAGAUUUUCAAGCUCUUCUGUAAGGACGACGAAGCCUUCAUCUGCGUGAUCUGCAGAGAGUCCCGGGAUCACCGCACUCACAAGGUGUUCCCAGUAGGGGAGGCUGCCGAAGAGUACAAGGAAUAUCUUCAAACCCAGAUGAUGACCCUGAAGGAAAAAAGAGAAGACCUUAUGAAGUAUAAACUGGAUGGAGAAAAGGAAAGCCUGAAAUGGCUGGAAAAGACAGAGGCUGAGAGGCAAAAGAUUGUACUGGAAUUUCAGAAACUACGGCAGUUCCUAGAGGAGCAAGAGCAACUCCUGCUAACCCAGCUGGCUAAGCUGGAGAAGGAGAUUGUACAGAGGCAAGGAGAUAGUGUUACCAACCUGUCAAAGAAUAUUUCCCAACUUGAUAACCUCAUCUGUGAAAUAGAGGGGAAGUACCAGCAGCCAGUGAAUGAAUUCCUGAAGGAUAUCAAGAGCACCUUGAGCAGAUGUAAGACGGUGCACUUUAAGAAACCGGUGUUCAUGCCUCGUGACCUGACUGUCCAGCUCAGCAGGUCUUCUCAAACAAAUAUUUAUCUGCAGGAGGCACUGACAAAAUUCAAAGAAACUCUUCCCUUUGAGCUGAGAAAGGGAAUUAGAUGUUUCCCUUCACAGUCCUUGUCUCCUCCAACAAGCAAUGAGGCAUGCAGAGCAGCCAAUCAACAGCCUAGAGAAGACAUUUGUAGAGGCAUGACUGAGAGUUGGACUUCUGGGUUCGGUGCUGUGGGUUUUUCCUCGAUGAUCUCUGGCCAUGCCUUACAGAAGCCUGGCUUUCCUCCUAGGAGACAUCAAAACUGGAAUGAAGGAGGAUUUGACUGGGAAUGAAGGUUCCCCAGGGCUGGAGCACAAGCUGCAGUGGGCAUGACUGGGAGGGAGGACGAUACCAGGAAGCUCCAUGUGCUCAGAGACGUGUAGUCCCCAGGCUCCGGUGCGGCAGGCAGAGAAGCAGCACACACGACAGGGGAAGAGCCCAGCGUAGGGGCCAGGUGCCUGGGCUCUGGAAGACAGAAGCAUCCGGUGUCCCUGUGCUGCAACAACCCCAACAGAAAUGAAGCCAGAAACAGGCACUCUGGGUCCAUGGCACCAGGCAAGAGCACCCAUCUCCAACAA